AGAGUUUGAUCAUGGCUCAGGACGAACGCUGGCGGCGUGCUUAACACAUGCAAGUCGAACGAUGAACCUCCUUCGGGAGGGGAUUAGUGGCGAACGGGUGAGUAACACGUGGGUGACCUGCCCUCAGCUCUGGGAUAAGCCCGGGAAACUGGGUCUAAUACUGGAUAUGACUCCAUGACGCAUGUUGUGGGGUGGAAAGCCUUGUGCGGCUGGGGAUGGGCCCGCGGCCUAUCAGCUUGUUGGUGGGGUGAUGGCCUACCAAGGCGACGACGGGUAGCCGGCCUGAGAGGGCGACCGGCCACACUGGGACUGAGACACGGCCCAGACUCCUACGGGAGGCAGCAGUGGGGAAUCUUGCGCAAUGGGCGAAAGCCUGACGCAGCGACGCCGCGUGAGGGAUGACGGCCUUCGGGUUGUAAACCUCUUUCAGCUCCGACGAAGCGGAAGUGACGGUAGGAGCAGAAGAAGCACCGGCCAACUACGUGCCAGCAGCGGCGGUAAUAC
rnacentral:rRNA from 1 species